GAUGAACGCUGGCGGCGUGCCUAAUACAUGCAAGUCGAGCGAACAGACGAGGAGCUUGCUCCUCUGACGUUAGCGGCGGACGGGUGAGUAACACGUGGAUAACCUACCUAUAAGACUGGGAUAACUUCGGGAAACCGGAGCUAAUACCGGAUAAUAUAUUGUACCGCAUGGUUCAAUAGUGAAAGACGGUUUUGCUGUCACUUAUAGAUGGAUCCGCGCCGCAUUAGCUAGUUGGUAAGGUAACGGCUUACCAAGGCAACGAUGCGUAGCCGACCUGAGAGGGUGAUCGGCCACACUGGAACUGAGACACGGUCCAGACUCCUACGGGAGGCAGCAGUAGGGAAUCCUCCGCAAUGGGCGAAAGCCUGACGGAGCAACGCCGCGUGAGUGAUGAAGGUCUUCGGAUCGUAAAACUCUGUUAUUAGGGAAGAACAAAUGUGUAAGUAACUAUGCACGUCUUGACGGUACCUAAUCAGAAAGCCACGGCUAACUACGUG
rnacentral:rRNA from 1 species